AGUGAACGCUGGCGGUAGGCCUAACACAUGCAAGUCGAACGGCAGCACAGUAAGAGCUUGCUCUUACGGGUGGCGAGUGGCGGACGGGUGAGGAAUACAUCGGAAUCUACUUUUUCGUGGGGGAUAACGUAGGGAAACUUACGCUAAUACCGCAUACGACCUACGUGUGAAAGCAGGGGAUCUUCGGACCUUGCGCGAUUGAAUGAGCCGAUGUCGGAUUAGCUAGUUGGCGGGGUAAAGGCCCACCAAGGCGACGAUCCGUAGCUGGUCUGAGAGGAUGAUCAGCCACACUGGAACUGAGACACGGUCCAGACUCCUACGGGAGGCAGCAGUGGGGAAUAUUGGACAAUGGGCGCAAGCCUGAUCGAGCCAUGCCGCGUGGGUGAAGAAGGCCUUCGGGUUGUAAAGCUCUUUUGUUGGGAAAGAAAAGCAGCAGGUUAAUACCACGCUGUUCUGACGGUACCCAACGAAUAAGCACCGGCUAACUUCGUG
rnacentral:rRNA from 1 species